UGUCAGCUAAGUGGCGCACGGGUGAGUAAUGCAUAGGUUUACGUGCCUUUUAGUCUAGGAUAACAAUUGGAAACGAUUGCUAAUACUGGAUAUUCCCUCCGGGGGAAAGAUUUAUCGCUAAGAGAUCGGCCUAUGUCCUAUCAGCUUGUUGGUGAGGUAAUGGCUCACCAAGGCAAUGACGGGUAGCUGGUUUGAGAGGAUGAUCAGCCACACUGGAACUGAGACACGGCCCAGACUCCUACGGGAGGCAGCAGUGGGGAAUCUUAGACAAUGGGCGCAAGCCUGAUCUAGCCAUGCCGCGUGAGUGACGAAGGUCUUAGGAUCGUAAAGCUCUUUCGCCAGAGAUGAUAAUGACAGUAUCUGGUAAAGAAACCCCGGCUAACUCCGUGCCAGCAGCCGCGGUAAUACGGAGGGGGUUAGCGUUGUUCGGAAUUACUGGGCGUAAAGCGUACGUAGGCGGAUUGGAAAGUAGGGGGUGAAAUCCCAGGGCUCAACCCUGGAACUGCCUCCUAAACUAUCAGUCUAGAGUUCGAGAGAGGUGAGUGGAAUUCCAAGUGUAGAGGUGAAAUUCGUAGAUAUUUGGAGGAACACCAGUGGCGAAGGCGGCUCACUGGCUCGAUACUGACGCUGAGGUACGAAAGUGUGGGGAGCAAACAGGAUUAGAUACCCUGGUAGUCCACACCGUAAACGAUGAAA
rnacentral:rRNA from 1 species